ACUAUUAAAUUAGUGUGUUAAUAUUAUCAGAUGAGAUGAGGAAUAAACUUCUAUAACGUAAACAUGUAGAUAAACAUGUUAUCUACAUGUUUACGUUAUAUUCAACAUUUACGGAUUGAAUUACGAGAAAAAGUGGUUAUAAUUAAUUUAAAACAUAUUGCAUCACAAGAAGAAUAAGAAAAAUAUUGCUAUACUUAAGUAUCAAAAUUGAUUUACUGUUGUACUGUUAAACUGAAGAUGGAAAUAAAGUUUAGAAAAUUUGCUCUGGUUGAAUUUUUUAACAGAAAAACAUUAUUUUGUGGCUAUAACCCUCUCUCAACUCUAUAACUCCGAAACACGAACCUUGACGAACAAGGCCGCUGCGCAGAGAAACGAGUUGAGCGCGGUACUACCAGGGACGUGGUGGGGAUCAAACUCGGAACCACUCGUUUAUGAAGCGAGCGCUCUACCACUACACCACUACCGCAUGUAUUGGCCAAAUCACUUGAAAGCAUCUUAUUUUUUGGCUGCCAUACGUGAAGCCACGCUUCUAAAAGUAACUAGAAGCAGCUGAUAAUAAAUGGUAAUUGCUUAUUUACAAUAUUGUUUUUACUUGUUUAAUUUUAAGUUACACACGUGCAAGAUGCUAAUGAUCUAGACAGCUAUAUUUGACUCAAAUACUGUUCAUUGUUUAGUAUGGCAGUUUUUUCGGCAGUUAAGAAACUGCUUUAAAAUGGAAAUGUUUGAGUUUACAUCAAGCGUUAAAACAGCUGUUGAUAGUGAUAGAUAAAUUUUAUCUUAAUAAAAAAAAAUUUAUCUAUGCCUCCAGCUUAAAAAGUUGAAGGUUACAAAAAAAGUGACACUGAUGAGAUUGUACAUGAGUUUCUCAAAGAUAAAAGAAAUCUUUUGUUUUUUAGGGUUAAGUGUUUCCAUCAGAGCUUUGCUUGACCAUCUCUUUCAAUUUAUUGAGUUGAUGGAGUUUUUUUGAUAAAGUUAUUUGUUGGUUAAAGAGGAAAAAAGAUCAUCUUAACCUCUAAGAAAAAUUAUGGAACUAAGGCACAUCAUGAAUCAGUGAUUAUGUAUCAGUAAAUUAAUAUUAGUUAAUAGUUUUGGAAACAGUUCUAUAUACUAUUAAAGUUUCUAUUUGAAAAAAAAUAUGAUACAUUCAUAUGAAACAUACAAACAAAUGAUACAAUGUGAUACAUGAUUGAUUAUAACUAUGAUGUAUAUAAGAAUGUUUUAUAUAAAUGUCUGUUAUAUUUUGUUGUGAUUUUUAUCUUUUAUGCCCAUUUAGCAAUGUAUUUUGUGUAGCAUUGUAUUUAGCAAUGUAUUUUGUGUAGCAAUGUAUUUAGCAAUGUAUUUUGUGUAGCAAUGACUACUAAUCUCAGACAUCUCAGAUAUCUUUACGUUGUAUUCACCACAGCUUUUUGCUGUGGCAAAUACAACCAAUCUUGGAGAAUUUUAUACUACUCUAUUAUUUUGGUUAAGGGUAAGGAGAAGCUCACAAACCUGUAUGAAAUUCUGUAUUCUUCCUAGUGUGUUACAUUAUAAAAGUUUUACAAAAAAUAAAUUAUUCCUGAUCUGCAAAAAAAUUUGACCUAAUCUAUUUAUAACCAAUCGCUUUUACUCUACCAUAAUAUCAUAUUUUAAUAAGAAUCACAUUUUGGGAAAACCGUCUAAUACAUACACAUAAGAGAAACCAUUAAACUUUUAGUACAACCAAUUAUAUUACAUUUGUUUCUUUUAUUUUAAAUGAACUUUCUUACUUCAGUUGGAGGAGAUGAGAAACAAUUUACAGAGGCAAUCUUAAUACAGCUAAUGGCCAAAGAAGUAUGUUUUUCAUACUCAAUGUAUGGAAGAAAACAAAAACGUCCUGCGAGGUUGUUAUAGAGUUGCGUUUAGUCAUUUAUCGUUCUAUUCGUUCAUUUCGAAAUCGCUACUGACAAAAGUAUUAUAAAAAAAAUUGGUAGCUUUCUGGCGACGGCCAUUAACAGAGAUACGGAAGAAAAAUAGAACCGUAACUGAGCAACACCUAAUAUUGAGCAAUCAAAUAAGUAUCGCCAAAAUAAUGAAAUUCGAUGCCCACUAUCUGGUAGUGAGAGUUUAAUACAGUACUUUAUAAAUGUAUACAUAUUUUUUGUACCUGUAUUUAAAUAGAAUUAAUUUUUUUUUGUUAUAUUUUGGUUUUGGAAAACUCUAUGCCUCUUUUUUUCACUUGUAUCUGUUUCAUAUAACUUCAAAUAAAUUUAAUGAUUUCCA
rnacentral:lncRNA from 1 species